UUAAAUUUCAUAUAAGCCAACUUUGUAUUGAUUUUUAAACAAAGUAUGAACACAUCUUUUAAAAACCCAAGUAACUAUAGAAAAUGCACCCCUAAAUAAGCUUUUAUUUCUCUCUAAUCUUUAGAGAGAAAAAUUUUCUCUUUCUUUGUUUUUCAUCUAAGAUUUUAGUCAUCUUGCAUUUACCGCUCACUCAGCCUCCUCUGCCUCUCCCAGUAUGGGAAGGUUGACGCCCUUCCUAGUCCGUACGUUAUUCUCCCCAUUGUUCGAUGGUAUAUGUAAUUUUUAUUUUAUUAUUGUAAGAGCAUAUUUAACAUAUUUGAGAGAGUUUCUAUUGAUAUGCCUAUUGUGGUUGUUUUCGUUGUAGUUAUUAUCUUUUCUUUAUGCUUGCAGGUUUUCUCUUACCGGACAACAGGGAAGUUUUGACUCAAAGGGUCUAGUUCUCCAUGUGGUGAUUUUAAAGAGGAGAGUAUCAAGUGGGAUUCUUCUUAGAGGUUCGUUUGCGGCCCUUUCUACUUUUGGAAUCUUCUCCCCUUCUUUUUCUUCUGUUUUGAGCCUUUAUUAAUAGAAAAAUAUCAGAUCUGGAGUUCUUUGUUUUAGUUGUGAUGAUGGGAAGCGAAUAUAGCAAGAUUGUCAGAGGAAGGUCGCAAAACCAAGACCAAUCUAGAAGGCGCAAGUGAGUUCACCAAAAAACCUUCCUCCUUCUCGUUGUAAGGAGUUAAUUUGGGUUUUUCUGGUUGGCCUCUCCUUGCAUGCGUCCUCCUUAGUAGAUUCGCACCAUUCUCCUUGUGGAUAGCCAUCCCAGUUUCUUUCAAUGCUCAGUUCCCUUAUUGGCUAGAAAAUCUGUCUGGAGAUGAGCACUUAGAUGAGUGGCAUUGUGCAUAUGAAGGCAUUGCUUGGGGUUGGACUGCUUGGGUUGCCAGAUCAGGGUAGAUAGAUUCCGUUCCUGAUUCCAAUUUAGACUUCAGCUUUCGGGAUGUGGGCCUGUAUACUUUGAGGUUGAAUUGAACCGCUUUAUAAUGAGUUGGACUUUUUAGAUACUUUAGGCCGAACGUCUAAUGUACUGUUCUCAACUUUUUACGGCUUAAUGAAACCACACUUCUGGCAAAUGAAAAAAAAGAAACUAUAGAGACUGCUAUAUAUAUAUAUAUAUAUAUAUAUAUACAUGAGAGAGAGAGCGGAGACGAGUAAUCUUUUAAAUGUUGCAGUUCUGCCAGCAAUAGUUUCCUAAUGCAAAAUGUCUUUCCUCAAGGAAACGCCAACCGACUUGGCAUUUUCUUAUUUACUCCAUGAUGUUGGCUUCUGUUCACUUAAACUGAGAAUGACUCAUUUCUUUGUUUAUUUUUUGCCUCAUAGAGAGAGAAUGCUACGUUUUCUUUGUUUAUUUUUCUGCCCCCAAGACAGACUCAGACAAAAUGGCAAUUAAGU
rnacentral:lncRNA from 1 species